UCGGACACCACAAGGACACCGCGCUAGUCAGGUUUAUUUACUCAUCUAAUUCAUUACAGUAACAUGUAUCGGACACCACAAGGACACCGCGCUAGUCAAGUUUAUUUACUCAUCUAAUUCAUUACAGUAACAUGUAUCGGACACGACAAGGACACCGCGCUAGUCAAGUUUAUUUACUCAUCUAAUUCAUUACAGUAACAUGUAUCGGACACCACAAUGACACCGCGCUAGUCAAGUUUAUUUACUCAUCUAAUUCAUUACAGUAACAUGUAUCGGACACCACAAUGACACCGCGCUAGUCAGGUUUAUUUACUCAUCUAAUUCAUUACAGUAACAUGUAUCGGACACCACAAUGACACCGCGCUAGUCAAGUUUAUUUACUCAUCUAAUUCAUUACAGUAACAUGUAUCGGACAUUUGUGUUUUUAUGUAAUUUGAUUAAUAUACAGAUCAUGUGUCCAAGCUUUGCUAACAAGGAUUUAAAAACGCUCCUUUCUACUCUCCGUUUUAAAAAUCUUUCAUGAUUCUACGGUUUUGUCGGAUAAAUACACACCUUCAAAAAUUUGAAGGCUGAAAUUUCAUUGGCUGAUGUAAACAUUACCUGGACAAAAACUAAAACGGAGCGUUAUCAGAUCCUUGUCAGUAAAGCUUGAAAACAGGAUUUGUUUUUGUUCCGAUUUGGUGAGGUGGACAAUUUUGCAACUUUAAUAUUCCUUAAGUGUGUUCGCUGAAACCAUAAUUUCCUCAAUCCGUAGACUAAAACAUCACAAAACGAUGUAAACACAAAGUAAAGCUUCAAACAGGAAUAACGUUAAGGUCUGCUAAGAUAUAGCUACAGUG